rnacentral:misc_RNA from 1 species
UAAUAAGUGUUUUUAUGGCACUUUUUAAAUCCAUAUACCACGCCUUGUGUGCAAUGUCGAGUCGAUCCUUCUUCAUGGAGGAUCGGACCAAGCAUCAACCUUUAUCUUUUUAACUCUUUGUCUGAAAAAUAAUAUGAAUAAACAUUCUAAAAUA